GGUUGUGGCUCAGUGGUAGAGUACUUGUCUCGCACAUGUGAAGCACUGGGUUCAAUCCUCAGAACCA
rnacentral:tRNA from 1 species